CCUACGGGAGGCAGCAGUGAGGAAUAUUGGUCAAUGGUCGGAAGCCUGAACCAGCCAAGUAGCGUGAGGGAUGAAGGCACUACGGGUCGUAAACCUCUUUUGUCCGGGGACAACACCGGCGACGUGUCCACGUCUGCAGGUACCGUGAGAACAAGGCUCGGCUAACUCCGUGCCAGCAGCCGCGGUAAUACGGAGGAGUCGAGCGUUAUCCGGAUUUAUUGGGUGUAAAGGGUGCGCAGGCGGGCUGUUAAGUCAGCUGUAAAAGCCCGGGGCUCAACCCCGGCCCGCCGUUGAAACUGGCAGUCUUGAGUUGGCGAGAAGCAUGCGGAAUGCGCGGUGUAGCGGUGAAAUGCAUAGAUAUCGCGCAGAACCCCGAUUGCGAAGGCAGCAUGCCGGCGCCCCACUGACGCUGAGGCACGAAAGUGCGGGUAUCGAACAGGAUUAGAUACCCGUGUAGUC
rnacentral:rRNA from 1 species